UACAGAGGGUGCAAGCGUUGUUCGGAAUUAUUGGGCGUAAAGCGCGUGUAGGCGGCUUUGCAAGUCGGGUGUGAAAGCCCUCAGCUCAACUGAGGAAGUGCGCCCGAAACUGCAGAGCUUGAGUGCCGGAGAGGGUGGCGGAAUUCCCCAAGUAGAGGUGAAAUUCGUAGAUAUCAAGCGGAACACCGGUGGCGAAGGCGGCCUUCUGGACAGUGACGUGACGCUGAGACGCGAAAGCGUGGGGAGCAAACAGG
rnacentral:rRNA from 1 species